AUGGAUACAACUAAAAUCUUAGUGUGUUUUACCUGUGGAACUCUUUUAGGGGUUGUUUUAUAUGCCGGCUACGCCGCUUUUGGACCAGGUUCGGCAUAUUUAAAAGAUCCGUUUGAGGAACACGAGGAUUAA
rnacentral:antisense_RNA from 1 species